GAUGAAGAACGUAGCGAAAUGCGAUACGUAAUGUGAGUUGCAGAAUUCAGUGAAUCAUCGAGUCUUUGAACGCACAUUGCGCCCCCUGGUAUUCCGGGGGGCAUGCCUGUCCGAGCGUCAUUGCUGCCCUCAAGCACGGCUUGUGUGUUGGGCCUCCGUCCUCCUCCCGGGGGACGGGCCCGAAAGGCAGCGGCGGCACCGCGUCCGGUCCUCGAGCGUAUGGGGCUUCGUCACCCGCUCUUGUAGGCCCGGCCGGCGCUUGCCGACACAUCAAUCUUUUUUCCAGGUUGACCUCGGAUCAGGUAGGGAUACCCGCUGAACUUAAGCAUAUCAAUAAGCGGAGGA
rnacentral:misc_RNA from 1 species